rnacentral:rRNA from 1 species
AUUGAACGCUGGCGGCAGGCCUAACACAUGCAAGUCGAGCGGUAGCACAGAGAGCUUGCUCUCGGGUGACGAGCGGCGGACGGGUGAGUAAUGUCUGGGAAACUGCCUGAUGGAGGGGGAUAACUACUGGAAACGGUAGCUAAUACCGCAUAACGUCGCAAGACCAAAGUGGGGGACCUUCGGGCCUCAUGCCAUCAGAUGUGCCCAGAUGGGAUUAGCUAGUAGGUGGGGUAACGGCUCACCUAGGCGACGAUCCCUAGCUGGUCUGAGAGGAUGACCAGCCACACUGGAACUGAGACACGGUCCAGACCCCUACGGGAGGCAGCAGUGGGGAAUAUUGCACAAUGGGCGCAAGCCUGAUGCAGCCAUGCCGCGUGUGUGAAGAAGGCCUUCGGGUUGUAAAGCACUUUCAGCGGGGAAGAAGGCGGUGAGGUUAAUAACCUUGUCGAUUGACGUUACCCGCAGAAGAAGCACCGGCUAACUCCGUGCCAGCAGCCGCGGUAAUACGGAGGGUGCAAGCGUUAAUCGGAAUUACUGGGCGUAAAGCGCACGCAGGCGGUCUGUCAAGUCGGAUGUGAAAUCCCCGGGCUCAACCUGGGAACUGCAUUCGAAACUGGCAGGCUAGAGUCUUGUAGAGGGGGGUAGAAUUCCAGGUGUAGCGGUGAAAUGCGUAGAGAUCUGGAGGAAUACCGGUGGCGAAGGCGGCCCCCUGGACAAAGACUGACGCUCAGGUGCGAAAGCGUGGGGAGCAAACAGGAUUAGAUACCCUGGUAGUCCACGCCGUAAACGAUGUCGAUUUGGAGGUUGUGCCCUUGAGGCGUGGCUUCCGGAGCUAACGCGUUAAAUCGACCGCCUGGGGAGUACGGCCGCAAGGUUAAAACUCAAAUGAAUUGACGGGGGCCCGCACAAGCGGUGGAGCAUGUGGUUUAAUUCGAUGCAACGCGAAGAACCUUACCUGGUCUUGACAUCCACAGGACUUUCCAGAGAUGGAUUGGUGCCUUCGGGAACUGUGAGACAGGUGCUGCAUGGCUGUCGUCAGCUCGUGUUGUGAAAUGUUGGGUUAAGUCCCGCAACGAGCGCAACCCUUAUCCUUUGUUGCCAGCGGUUAGGCCGGGAACUCAAAGGAGACUGCCAGUGAUAAACUGGAGGAAGGUGGGGAUGACGUCAAGUCAUCAUGGCCCUUACGACCAGGGCUACACACGUGCUACAAUGGCAUAUACAAAGAGAAGCGACCUCGCGAGAGCAAGCGGACCUCAUAAAGUAUGUCGUAGUCCGGAUUGGAGUCUGCAACUCGACUCCAUGAAGUCGGAACCGCUAGUAAUCGUAGAUCAGAAUGCUACGGUGAAUACGUUCCCGGGCCU